AAGUAAGAAGCAAAAUUUGCAUUUAAUUUCGACUUAAAACUUUGAUUAUAAAAUCCUUACUUU
rnacentral:tRNA from 1 species